GACGAACGCUGGCGGCGUGCUUAACACAUGCAAGUCGAACGAAGUGGCGAACGGGUGAGUAACGCGUAAUCAACCUGCCCUUCAGAGGGGGACAACAGUUGGAAACGACUGCUAAUAACGCAUACUGAAGGAGGGGUUUGCGUGUGAUUAGCUAGUUGGAGGGGUAACGGCCCACCAAGGCGAUGAUCCGGAGGCGGGCUUGGAAGGAGAACGGCCACAAUGGGAAUUGGACAAGGGCCAGGCUCCUACGGGGGGGAGCAGGGGGGGAAUUUCGGAAAUGGAGGAAAGCCUGACGGAGCAAAGCCGCGUGGGAGAUGACAGCCCUCGGGUUGUAAAACUCUGUUAAUCGGGGCGCGGUACCGGAAGAGUAAGCCACGGCUAACUACGUGCCAGCAGCCGCGGUAAUAC
rnacentral:rRNA from 1 species